rnacentral:lncRNA from 1 species
AACUCAGAUGUUCACUAUCCUCACAUUAGCCCAUAUUUGGCCUCUACCAAUUGGUUGAAAUUUUUGGCUGAGUCAUUCUUACUGGACUGUGUGGUGUUAAGACAGAUCUACUUCCGGGGAAUCCAGCCCGAGACCCUGGCAAACCCAAGGCUUUUCCACCAGCCCCGUCUCCUCAGGAUUUGCCCGCUGCCUUCUGUGUCAGUCUCCAGCACUGCGGCGCGAGAAUUCUGGGUAAGUGUCUGGAAUUAACUUCUACCUAAUGCUAUAGUUCAUUACAUGUAGAACUGCAAAUAUUCCUACAAAGGUAUCCUUGUGCCUUGGCAUGUUCCCGCCAAGUCCAAUAAUGGUGACUUACAGAAGGAUUUAUUUUCA